ensembl:lncRNA
GGCAGAAUUUAUUAGGAAUAUAGUACCCAGAAAUCGUAAAAUAAAAGCAGAAAGACUGGUAGAAAGACUUGUAAUAAGAAUGUCAUUGCAAUGCAUCCACUUGAGUUCACAUUCGGACAAACCUAAAAAUCUGCACUUGUAGCACCCCUUUCUGAUUCAAUAUAUACAACUCCAAUGUGAGCCGGGAUCCCCCAAAAGCCCACGUCUUCAGUCCAAAACCUUUAAAGUCCCCGAAAGUGGUAGCAAAGGCAGACUAGAAAUAUUUAAAACAUUACAUUCUAUCCUCAUUCAAUUACGGGUAACGUAUAUUCCCUUAAACUCCAUUUUGCUCUCCAGAGCGGGUAUCCCUUAUAACACUACAAGGUACCACUUUACACUAAGGUACCUUUCAUAAAGAGCACCUUAAAGUAGUGUAACCCACUACAAAUAUAUAUAUAUAUUAUUUUUUUGCAUACUGUAUGGCUGUUUGGGGCGAUUGAGGUGGAUGUAGGAAAAGGUGGUGUGAAAAAGUGAGAGAAAAGAGAAAAGGCAACCCAAACGGAUGGUGGGUGAGAAAAUAAGAGUUUAUAAAGCAGUGGAUCAUGUCAUCGAUUUACAGCUCCAUACAAAAGACGUACAAAAAAAAAACCAGCACCAACAGACACGCAGUGCUCUCACAUGCCAGGGUAGUGUUCAUUAGGGAUAGCAACGGGAAACGUUUGCAACAGAACACGAACAUUUGCAUUUCUUAUUUGACAUGUCCAGGGAGUCAGCUUUCCUAUGUUUGGUCCCUAAUGAACACGACCCAGGGAAGGGUGAAUGAAAAGGGGAUGGUGAGAAAAAUAAACGAGAACAAAAGCAACCAAAGACAGAAACCAAAAAUAAAGUAAUUACAUAUUAAGGUGCUUAAACAAUUGUUCUGACCCCAGUGUCCUUCCUAUGUGAAUACAUACUCAUUUACACACGAAAAAAAAAGGCAAAAUAAAUUCUUAAAAUCACAUUCAUUGAACACAAAAAGUAUGCCUAACAAAUGUUAUUCAAAUACAUUGUAACAAGCUAUUGCAUUGACACUAAUCGUUUCAGUCAUUCCGGACAGUAAAAAGGUCGCCGUCAGAAUGAUCUAGAGAAAAAAAAAACAACGCCAGGAAGAUAACUGUAUAAUUCAAAUUACGCCGCUUAUCUGAUUAUAUUCAUUUAGAGUGAGAAGUAAAACAUCCCAUUUGGACAAAGGCAAUGAAUGUGGCGACAACAUUAGCUAAGUCAUUCCUAAUACAGUAUUCAACAGCGAUCUUAAAGAAAACCUCGUCAUAGAAUAAAAUAACACCAUUUCAAAAAGGAGGCUUGUGUUAUUGACACCUGAAGGUUUGUUGUAUAUUGACAAAAGUAAAUGUCAGACUUGACUGGGAACAAAUGUAGGCUAUUGUCUCGUUAUCUUAAACAUGGCAAGGGGAUUUUGCUGUGGUUGAAAUGAGCCAAAAGCACACUUUACCUUAGGCCACUUCAACUAGAAGAAAGUACACAAAGUAAGCUGAGAAACUUAUGUUGCUCUAUCCAAAGUUGUAUUUAUGGACGGAGACAUCUAAAUGACGUCCUAUCAAUAUUCAAUACUUUUCCCACUAUAAAUACCUUCACAUACAAGAAAAGUGGUAAAACGGGUUGCUUUUGCAUAUGUUUUUCCAACGGUAUCAAACUCCUAAAGCCCUAUCGACAAUCCAAUCUAGCUCUCACUUGUAAAAUCCGUAGUGUACUCAUACAUUUCAAGUGAGAAUAAGGAUAAACCGCCAAGUCCAUCGAUCAAUAAAAUCCCAAAUCUAUAAAUAUUAUUUCCCAUCUAAAGUACAAAAUGUACUGUAAUUGUUCAAACAAGAAUGGCUAAAAAAUAAAAUAUCGACGAUUGCCACUUCCACAUUUGAAAUAACUCGCCCAUAUAGGAGUUUGCAAACACUAUAAAAUGAGAAACUGGAAUUGACUGUAGGCCCAUAGAGGGCAGAUAUCCAGAGCCUUCCGGUGCAAAUAGAAGGUUCUGCAAAUGUAUUUAUACGCUUUCAAUAUCAAUGCAUUUGCCUCCAAACAUAUCUUACCCUAUCCCGUGGUAUCCAGCAACACUUUUGGGUAUCAUGCGUCAUCAUUUUCACUAGGGAAAUAGGUGAGUUCCUGUGUUGGUGUAUAACAUUUAUGAAGAAGAUUUUUAACUAAUAAUGCUGUGGUUGUUUCAUGUUGCUUAUUGAACGCUGCUGUGGAUAAGAGCAUUUGCUAAAAGAUUAAACAUUGAAAUGUGUUGCAAUGUCCUAUACUGCUCUGAAAAUACCAACCUGCCCCCCUAUUACAGAUAAUACACUUGGGGGGGAGAGUUCUCUAUUGAUUUAACACUGAGGAAAAAGGGGGAAAAAACAUGUCCAAAACCAAGAUGGCUGACAUGAUGACGUCAAGGCAAUCCCGAGUGGCAGUUUACUUGGCAUCUCUAACUCUAUCUUUACCAUAUUUGACCUUUCUGAAUGUUACACAAUCAACUUAUCAAUGCAAGUUAUUACAUUACUGGGUUAAAAUAUAUCUAAUAAAUCAAAUAAAAGCAGAUGUCAACAUUUAAAGGUGGCCAUCUUGUUUGGCUACCCUUCCUUCAGUAUCUGAGGUGAAAGGAAUUCAAAAGUAUGGAUCUUCUUCUGCUUCUCGAUCAUUUAGAAAAUAAUCGUUUCAUUAGUGGAAUAGUCUCCUUUAGAGUUGGCUAGUUAGAGCUAAAACAAAAUAUUUUUUUGUGACAUUGUCACACAUGCUUGAGCAAGGCUUCUUGGAUGACCUGACGUAGUGGGGUCAUCCUAGGGUCAGCUCCACCUCCCCCAAUCUUAACCUUAAUUAACCAUUGGUGGGGAAAGUGCAAAACUGACCCAAAUCAGUGUCUGGGGGCAACUUUACUCCGGGUUGGUUGUGUCCAAUAUGGGUUGUGCUAGAGAUGGAAGGGUCCAAGUAAGGAGGUUGCGGGGGUGGACCGGAUUCAUCAUUACAGUUUCUUGACGUAGUUUCCUGGAAAGGUUCCAAACUGCUUGCUCUGUCGGGAAGUCCCUUUUUAAAAACACAAAAACAGAGAUGCCAAUUUUCCACUAUGUAGACAUCCACGGUGACAUUAAAACAUCAUUAUAGGUCGUAAUUGUAAAAGAGAAUGUGUUUAAUAAAGGAUAAUAAUAAACAAUGAAAGGUGUCCGUUUACAUACUGUAUCCCACUAGAAGUGAUUGAUUCUAGAAUUUCAGUGGUUCUUCUAUGCAGAGGGAACUAUCCAAAGAAUUGCUGACUUAAAUUGUUUAUUCAAAUAUUGCAAAAAACACAAAUGAUUCCCUGCACCGUUAAAAUAAACCCA